GGAGGAGGGGAGUCGUGGGUGAAGCUGAUAGGAUUCCUGCUGGACUCACAGAGCCUGGGUUAAUGACACAUUACCCAUGUUUAGAUAGGAGGUAAUUCUGCUCCGGUUUCGACAAGUUGUAGGAAAGGAGGAAAACAUGCUCAUAGCAGGCUUGAACAUGAAGUACAGGAACGUGCAUCUUAUUUUUGGAAGAUGGAGCCCCGUUGGGGGAAUUUGAGCAGUGGAGGGUCACAGCCAGGAAUUCCCCAGACAGUGAGGAGGGAGGAGAGGCCAUUUCUCUCCUAGGACUGGAGUGUUUCACCGGGGCAUACGUCACUGCCUGGGGGUCUUCAUCGUGUGGGCUCUGCUGGAGAGAGACAGUGGUGGGGGGUGUCCUUGAGUCCCCCUGACCUCCUGGAGUC
rnacentral:lncRNA from 1 species